GUGCCCCCACCAUGCGCCGGCUCAGUGUCUUCCCGCAGGACAGCAUUACAAUGACAACGUCAGGGAGUCGAAGGCUGCUGCCAAAUCCCCCCGAGUCUUCUCUUCUCUGGAAGAAAUCAGCCCAGGCCCCUCAACCUCUCCUCACCAGUCCUGCCCCAGCCCCCAACCUUUUUCAUUGCCCUGCACUGGACUCUUCAGUUUCUCCACAUCCUGUCUGUAGCGGGGCCCACAGCUGGACACAGCACUCCAGAUGUGGCCUCCCCAGUGCAGAAUACAGGGGAAGGAUCACUUCUCCCCAUCUGCCGGCAACGCUCCCACCAACACAGUCCAGGAUGCCACCGGCCUUAUAAAUUCAUCGAUGCUGGGGUUGGACGGGGUGUCAGCAGAUUUCAUGGAUGGUUAGGGCCGGAAGGGACCUCAGUAGAUCUCCUGGCGGAGUUGGUGCCGCCAGGUGGGCCUUACAUUCCUGGAUAACGACCCAUGCUUUCGGGCGGGGGACUUGCUGGGGCGGGAUGGGCUUCACCUCUCUCCUGAAGGCAAGCGUGUCUUCUCUUCCAGGUUGGCUGAUCUCGUACGGCGAGCUUAAAACUAGCCUUGCCGGGGCAGGGGACCGCAGGAAGACGUGGAGACACCACUCGAGCAAGACAGGUGACACAUGCAAGGGGUGCCCAGCGUCUCCCUCUGCGCCCGAAGCAUGGCGUCCUUUAGGAGCGACCCCCUGCCUGGACUCCCGUCUCGCCGACGCUCCCGUCCGGCAGUGCAUCGCUGACUACGCUCCUGAGCGCGCCGGAGUUACCCGUCCCAACGUCCAGCACUUCCACCUCGCCCCCCCUGCACCGGAUGGGGAGUUCGACUGAGUGGUGGGCGCUGUCCCCAAGGUGACCACCAAUCUGCAGCCCCCCCACCAGACCCUCCCCCAUCACCAACACCACGUCCAGCAAGGCACUGCCCUCGCGGGACCGUAUCCCUGCUGCGGUCGGUGAGGGUCCUGUGUGCCGGUGAAGGACCUACGCGAACGGUUGGAUUUGGCCGACUGCUCCUCGCAGCAGAUGUCCGGGUAGUUCAGGUCCCCCGUGACAACCAUGUCCCUCGACCGUACGGCCUCUGAGAGCUGCCUCAACAGUCCCCAGCCUAGCUCUUCCCCUUGGUGUGGUGGGCUGUAGCCGACCCCGCCACCAAGUCCCUUCUGGGCUAAGUACAGACAGGCAAAACAUCUGAGGCUGAAAAUUGCUGCAGGUUAGUCUAAGCUGCACAGGUGGAGGAAGAAACUAUGAUUUGAGGGGCCGAGUGUCCCCCCCAAGCUAGUAAGUCUGUUGUGGGGAAGGGGGAAGGGGGCAGAUCUAGGCCCCUGCAGUGAGGGAGGGACUGGGGCAGAGGCUUGGAUGAACAGGGCCUGGGGCUGGGGUGGGACGGGGGAGGCUCGGCGCCCGGGCAGCUUAUCCAGGGGGGUCCUGCCGCUGCGCGUAGUCCUGGGGCUGGCACACAGGGCACGUGCCCCCUGGAUGUGUGUGUGGGGUGGAGGUGGCUGCUGCUGUGGGCUGGGCUCCGCACACAGCACAGAUGCGGGGCACGGAUCCCCUGUGCCUGCCCAGGCAGCAAUGCGAACCCCUGUCCCGUCCCAUGCCCCUGAACGAGCAGCUCGGGCAAUGAGCAUCCCGCAACCCGUGCCAGGGCCCCAGUCACCACCCCCACCAUGGGGAGCCCCGAUCUGACCCUCCCAUCCCUCCCCGCCCACACAUUUACCCGCUCAGCUGGGCGCUGCUCCACAUGCCGUGGGGCCAGGCUGGGCUCCUGCAGGCUCUGGCUGCUUGUCUGUCUGUGCGCGCCUGGGCUGCCUGUGUCUGGGGGGCUAAACCCCCUUAGCCCCGGCCUUCCACGGCCUCUGCUAAACUGCAAAGGGACCGGGCUCGGAUGAGGUGACAAGGCACACCUCCUCCCCUACCGCUUUGAAUCAGUCCUUCCCUGUGAGAAAUGCUUCUCUUUUGAGAAAUGCUUAAAUUAGUGUUUCAAUUUUGAUUGGUAACAUUUGGGGGGUUUUUUCUUUCCAUUAGUGCCUGAACUUACAUUGUGUCAGGUAUUGAACUAGAGGAAAAGGGAAUCAGGACUCAUAGUACAGAUGAGAUCUUUUAUUAGACGAACAAGAUUUUUGCAACAAAAAUUCUUUAAUUGCAAGCUUUCAGACACAAUCUUUUCUCCAGUGCCUGAUGAGGGGUGUUUGUGCCCAAAAGCUUGCAAUUAAAGACAUUUUUUGCAAAAAUCUUGUUGCUCUAAUAAAAGAUAUCACCUCUAUCACGAGUCUUGAACUUACAUUUGCACUGAAAUACGACUGAAAGUUCAGGAUCGAUUUGUUUGUAAUAAUUUGACACUGUAUUUUAAGCUGUACAACAUUUUUUUUUACGUCCUAUGAGUGAAGCCAUGUCUGGCUUUUUUUUUUAUUAUAAUAAAAAUAAUUGUUUACUA